CCAAGUGAAGGGGGGCUGACGGGAUGUUAUGUUGGCAGCAUAGCGAGUGGGGGCGGCGAAUCGGACCUGGGUUUAGCCCAGUUCGCCACCAGGCUACAGCCAUUGCGUUUCGCCCCUUUUUCCAGCCCUUGUAAACAAGUUGAAAGUUGGACGUUUUUGGGCUGAAAAUUCCAACGAUUUUGGCCGGUAGUAUUUUAAACCCGACGCCAGAACGGUUUACCCUCAACCAAGUAAACUUGACACUGGUCCAAAGACGGAUUUAGACUAUUCGUAUAUGGAUAGUGUAUUGAUUUUUUUUCCCAGCUACUGAUAUUACAAAUGAUUUCUGACUUCAUAUCCUCAACAAAAGAUGAAUAGAUUUUGACAGGAAGAGAGCAUUAAAACAGCAGAUAUUACACCGAUGCCAUAUUGCCUUUAUGCCAGUGUUUGUACGAAUAGCACAAUAGAAAACAUCUGAUUCUACUACAACAAGGAAAAUGUUGUGACGAAGGACUGAACCAUGUUGAUAAAAGAGUACAGAAUUCCUCUUCCACUUACAGUGGAAGAAUAUCGCAUUGCCCAAUUGUAUAUGAUAGCAAAAAAAAGCAGAGAAGAAAGUAAAGGAGCUGGAAGUGGAAUAGAAAUUUUAGUCAACGAACCUUACUCAAAUGGACCAGGGGGCAAUGGCCAGUACACACAUAAAAGAUAUCAUGUUGGCAGUCACUUACCUGGAUGGCUCAAAAGCCUGCUGCCAAAGUCUGCGCUUAGCGUCGAAGAAGAGGCUUGGAAUGCAUAUCCCUACACUAAAACAAGAUACACGUGUCCAUUUGUUGAGAAAUUGCUACUUGAAAUCGAGACUUACUAUUUCGCUGACAAUGGACACCAGGAAAAUGUGUUCAGUUUAACUGGAAGCGACCUUCGCAACAGGAUAGUUGAUGUCAUUGAUGUCGUCAAAGAUCAACUCCAAGGUGGAGAUUAUGUCAGAGAAGAAGAUCCAACAGUUUACGUGUCUCAGAAAACUGGCAGAGGGCCGUUACAAGAAACCUGGCUUCAAGAUUAUUGGAAUGAAUGCAAGGGAAAGGAUAUGCCUUUACCUAAUGGAAAAUCUAUAAUGUGUGCAUAUAAAUUAUGUAAAGUGGAGUUUAGAUACUGGGGUAUGCAAACAAAGUUGGAAAGAUUUAUUCACGACGUUGCACUUAGGAAAACCAUGCUACGUGCUCAUCGUCAAGCAUGGGCGUGGCAGGAUGAAUGGCAUGGACUUACAAUGGAUGAUAUAAGACAGAUAGAAAGACAGACACAAGAAGCGCUUAAAAUGACAAUGGCAGGUGGGAGCGAAAGCAGCGGAGAAGAUGGGACUAUAUCGGCAGGAGACAGUGGGAGCAAUACCCUUGCAGCCAAUCUUGGGAGUAUUGAAAAACCUGAGGGUGAUUCUGCCAGUCCACUAGCCAAGCAUCGUGUUAUGUCUGAAUCAGAGACUCGCGCUGAAGUCAGCCCUGAUGUUUCUCCAAAACUGAACCAAAGGGCUAGCGAUGAAAGAAAAAGGCUUUGGAGCAAUUCAAAGAACAGUCUACCAUCUCCUACAUCUUCACAGAGGUUUGAACUUGCUGCUGCCAGUUGGAGGAUGGAAAGUAUUGUCAGAGAUUCUGAUUCACCGAGUGAAGAGGACGAUGAAUUUUUUGAUUGUCAAGAAGAGUCUAUGUCCCUAGCUACAUGGACAUCCUUGGAGGUCCUAAAUGAAGAAGAUUUGGAUUCUUCCCCUCCUGUUAUUGUUGAGACUCAUGAUGACAGCAUUUUCUCACAACGUUACCUCAAAUCUUCUAUGUCAGAAAGAGGUAGAAGCAUAGACACUAUUUACCCAGGAUCUCCAACCUUGUCAAUAUCAACUGUUAAUCAAGGAAGAGAAUCUCCAAUUACAAUCCUAAUGCUCGUCCUUCAUGCUGGGAGUGUUUUAGAUGCAAAUAUUGAACUGACAGCCAAGAAAUCAGAUUCAACAACAUUCAGAGGUGGUUUAGAAGCUGUCAUGAGAUCCCAUUAUGCAAAUAUGAUUGGGCAUGUUGCUGUAAGACUUGUAUCGUGUCCGGCACUUUGCACCGAUACCUUAAGUAUCCUUUCAGGGCUGAGCCCUUAUAGCUUUGACGUUUCACCUAGCCUUUGCGAUACAACUCACGUCACAAACGACUCGGUGCCCCUUGGCUCGAUACCGAUAAUGUCGACUUGCACCCCGGAGUACAGCGAUGCAGUCACAAAGACGGUCCAGACAGCAAACACGGCUUACCUUGAUUUCAUAAGAUCUGAAGAAGGAAGUGGUUUCUGUGGACAAGUUGUACUAAUUGGAGAUUCGAUGGGUUCCAUUCUUGCUUUUGAUGCACUCUGCAGGUCAGGGGAAGGGAAGAUGGAAAACGAAGAAAAUGAAAAUAUAGAAGUGACAGUAGAUGGGAAACAUUUGGUCGCUCCAAUUCCAAGAAGAAGAUCAUCAUCAACAAGUGAACAUAGCCAUUUGCCUCGAUUGGAAUUUGAAGUGAGUGAAUUAUUCAUGUUUGGAAGUCCCCUUGCGCUUGUAUUGGCUUAUAGGAAAAUAUCCACUGAUGACAAAACAAGUUCAAUUCCACGGCCUGCUUGUGGGCAAGUUUAUAAUUUAUUCCACCCGACGGACCCAGCAGCAGCGAGACUGGAACCCCUGAUCUCAGCUAGGUUCUCAAUGAUCCCCCCUGUGAACAUCCCAAGGUUUCAGAAGUAUCCUCUGGGCAAUGGCCAGCCAUAUCAUCUUUUGGAAAUUGUACAAAGCAACCCACAAAUCUUCACGGAUAACUUAUCAGUCGGUGGGCCUUCAAGUAUAUCCCACCUACGGAGGUUGUCCGAAGUCAGCAUUCAGAGCACUAUUUCUGGAGUGGUCGAUUCAUUGCCUCUACACACAAUAAAUGCUUUAACACAAAAAUGGUGGGGAACCAAGAGAUUAGACUACGCUUUAUAUUGUCCUGAAGGCCUAGCCAAUUUUCCAACAAACGCUUUGCCCCAUCUCUUUCACGCUAGCUACUGGGAGUCUUCGGACGUCAUUGCUUUCAUCCUGAGACAGGUCGGUCGGUUUGAGUUCGGUGGCCCGAUUGGAGCUGAGGAGAAAGACAUCUCAGGAUUUCACCCAAGCCAGCCUAGAGAAAAAUGGAUCCGCAAACGCACCUCUGUCAAGCUCAAGAAUGUUACUUCAAAUCAUCGAGCAAAUGAUGUUAUAGUAAAAGAAGGAGCAAAACAGUCUAUGACUGCACGUUUUAUGUAUGGCCCCUUCGAUAUGAUUACACUUGCAGGUGAGAAAGUUGACAUUCAUGUCAUGAAUGAUUCAACAACUGGAGAAUGGACGCUUUUGAGUACUGAAGUCACUGACAAAACUGGACGUAUUACAUACACUAUACCUGAUAAUAAAGCACUUGGCUAUGGUGUUUAUCCAGUAAAAAUGGUUGUGAGGGGUGAUCAUACUCAUGUCGACUUUUCCCUAGCAGUUGUGCCACCUAAGACUGAGUGUGUUGUUUUUAGCAUUGACGGCUCAUUUACCGCGAGUGUUUCUGUUACUGGAAGAGACCCAAAAGUCAGAGCAGGUGCAGUUGACGUUGCAAGACAUUGGCAAGAGCUUGGCUUUUUAAUAAUAUAUAUAACUGGAAGGCCUGAUAUGCAACAGGCAAAGGUGCUCGCUUGGUUGUCACAACAUAACUUUCCACAUGGCCUCGUUUCAUUUGCCGAUGGUCUUUCGACAGACCCACUUGGACACAAGGCUGUUUAUCUGAAAUCACUUAUCCAAGAACAUCAAGUGAUUAUCCAUGCAGCCUAUGGGAGUAGCAAGGACAUUUCUGUCUAUAGCUCGAUCGGACUGCGACCUCAACAGAUCUUCAUUGUCGGCAAAGUGUCAAAAAAACACCACAUUCAAGCAACGGUGCUGAGCGACGGGUAUGCAGCCCAUCUGGCAUCCUUAAUGUCGCACGGCGGAUCAAGACCGGCACAAGGAAAUGCCCGAAUGGUCCUUAUACCACGGACCGGAUUUGGUCACAGUGCUUCAAUAAGAAGAAGAAGAUGCGGAAGUGGAUUGGUAGCAAAGCGUACUGAAGUUUGAGAUAUUCGAAGAUAAAUUAUUUGUCCAGAGUCACUUUAAAACCUAAGCGAUUUUUAACGAGUGGAACUCAUGUCUGAGAUCUGCCAAAAGGACGACAUCAUUCCCUUUAUCUCCUCUUCCUACUGCUACAAUAGGAAAGGAUAGGAAACACGAAAAACUGU
rnacentral:misc_RNA from 1 species